GGAUUGUGGCUUAGAGGUAGAGCGCUCACCUAGCACUCAUGAGGCACUGAGUUCGAUCCUCAGCACCA
rnacentral:tRNA from 1 species